UACGAAGGGUGCAAACGUUGCUCGGAAUUAUUGGGCGUAAAGCGCACGUAGGCGGCUUAGCAAGUCGGAUGUGAAAUCCCUCGGCUCAACCAAGGAAGUGCAUCCGAAACUGCUGAGCUUGAGUACGAAAGAGGAUCGCGGAAUUCCCGGUGUAGAGGUGAAAUUCGUAGAUAUUCGCAAGAACACCAGUGGCGAAGGCGGCUCACUGGCCCGGUACUGACGCUGAGGCACGAAAGCGUGGGGAGCAAACAGG
rnacentral:rRNA from 1 species